rnacentral:rRNA from 1 species
CCCUUAGAUGUCCUGGGCCGCACGCGCGCUACACUGAACGGAUCAGCGCGUUUUCCCUUCCCGAGAGGGACGGGUAACCUGCUGAACCCCGUUCGUGGUAGGGAUCGGGGCUUGCAAUUAUUCCCCGUGAACCAGGAAUGCCCAGUAAGUGCAAGUCAUCAGCUUGCAUUGAUUACGUCCCUGCCCUUUGUACACACCGCCCGUCGCACCUACCGAUUGAAUGGUCCGGUGAAAUCUCGGGACGGCGGCUUGGUCGCUUGCGUCCGACUGCUGAAACUUGAUUAAACCAUAUCAUUUAGAGGAAGGUGAAGUCGUANCA